ACCCUCCUGAUGCUUACUUACCACAGGCUGUUCUUACACUGACUGUAUAAAAAGAGGAGGGAAAAUAAAUCUACCCCAUAUACACCUCAGCCCAGGCCCUGUGCCUGCCUGAAUGGGAAGACAUAG
rnacentral:snoRNA from 1 species